rnacentral:rRNA from 1 species
CCAGACUCCUACGGGAGGCAGCAGUGGGGAAUAUUGCACAAUGGGGGAAACCCUGAUGCAGCGACGCCGCGUGAGCGAUGAAGUAUUUCGGUAUGUAAAGCUCUAUCAGCAGGGAAGAAAAUGACGGUACCUGACUAAGAAGCCCCGGCUAACUACGUGCCAGCAGCCGCGGUAAUACGUAGGGGGCAAGCGUUAUCCGGAUUUACUGGGUGUAAAGGGAGCGUAGACGGCGGUGCAAGCCAGAUGUGAAAGCCCGGGGCUCAACCCCGGGACUGCAUUUGGAGCUGUGCUGCUAGAGUGUCGGAGAGGCAGGCGGAAUUCCUAGUGUAGCGGUGAAAUGCGUAGAUAUUAGGAGGAACACCAGUGGCGAAGGCGGCCUGCUGGACUGCAACUGACGUUGAGGCUCAAAGGCGUGGGGAGCAAACAGGAUUAGAUACCCCAGUAU